AGCGAACGCUGGCGGCAGGCUUAAACACAUGCAAGUCGUGCGCCCCUCCUUCAAGCGAGCUUGGAGGUUGCGGAGCGGGUUCUUCUGGUGAGCGCAAGCUCGCUUGAAGGGAUUCGUUUCGAUAUCAAGCGAGCCAAAGGGCUCGCUUGAUGGAGGGGAGCGGCAGACGGGAGAGUAACACGUGGGAACGUACCUUUCAGUUCGGAACAACCAAAGGAAGCUUCGGCCUCCACAUUGGGAGGAGCCUGCGGCCCAUUAGCUUGUUGGUGGGGUAACGGCCCACCAAGGCGACGAUGGGUAGCUGGUCUGAGAGGACGAUCAGCCACACUGGGACUGAGACACGGCCCAGACUCCUAACGGGAGGCAGCAGUGGGGAAUCUUGCGCAAUGCGCGAAAGCGUGACGCAGCAACGCCGCGGUGGGGGAA
rnacentral:rRNA from 1 species